rnacentral:rRNA from 1 species
AGUGAACGCUGGCGGUAGGCCUAACACAUGCAAGUCGAACGGCAGCACAGUAAGAGCUUGCUCUUACGGGUGGCGAGUGGCGGACGGGUGAGGAAUACAUCGGAAUCUACUUUUUCGUGGGGGAUAACGUAGGGAAACUUACGCUAAUACCGCAUACGACCUACGGGUGAAAGCAGGGGAUCUUCGGACCUUGCGCGACUGAAUGAGCCGAUGUCGGAUUAGCUAGUUGGCGGGGUAAAGGCCCACCAAGGCGACGAUCCGUAGCUGAUCUGAGAGGAUGAUCAGCCACACUGGACCUGAGACGCGGUCCAGACUCCUACGGGAGGCAGCAGUGGGGAAUAUUGUACAAUGGGCGCAAGCCUGAUCCAGCCCUACCGCGUGGGUGAAGAAGGCCUUCGGGUUGUAAAGCCCUUUUGUUGGGACAGAAAAGCAGCAGGUUAAUACCCCGCUGUUCUGACGGUACCCAAAGAAUAAGCACCGGCUAACUUCGUG